AUUAUUACUGCUUCCUGUAGCUGUUGCUGCUGCAGUGGUUGUUGUCUGGAAGAGGCAAAGACAAAGACGGAUAUAAAGAGAACAGUUGUGAUGGAGGUACCAGGGGUCUGCGGAGAGAAGGCCAUUCUGCGAUGUCAGGCUGAUGAUUCCUCCAUCAUAGCUGUAGAGUGGAGCAGAACUGACCUGAAGCCAGAUCCCAUCCUCUCAUACAGAGAUGAAUGGUUGGUUCCAAGCUACCCACAUGCUGAGUAUAAGGAGGACAAGGUGGAGCUGGAGGACAGAGAUCUGAAGAAUGGAAACAUGUCUUUAAUUCUGAAGAAUGUUAGCACCACUGACCAAGGAAUAUACGAGUGUCGGAGUAACAUCAACCGGUUCAAGAUGGAAAAAUAUUCCCUUCCUCCGCUCUGAGCCGAUCAGAAUCAUCCGUCUGCAGGUUACAGAGCCAGCAGACCUGAUUUUGUUAACAGUGCACCCUGGAGAUGAUGCCAUUCUACCAUGUCAGGCUGCUGAUCCCUCCAUCAUAGCUGUAGAGUGGAGCAGACCUGACCUGAAGCCAGAUAACCCCUCCUUUAUACAGUAAUGUACGCUUCAAUACAACCCAAAAGCAUCCAUCCUUUAAGGACAGGGUGGACCUGGUGGACAAAGAGCUGAAGGACGGAGACGCGUCUUUAAAACUGAAGAAUGUGAGCAGCAUCGACACUGGAACAUACAAGUGUUGGGUUACAGUAGCAGUAACCGAUUCCUGUUACCUAUUCAGAACCAUCAGAAUCAUCCAUCUGCAGGUUCCAGGUGAGUGAGUCUGGGGGUAUCUAUGGGUACAGAUUCAAAUAUUGGCAAAUUGUCAAAGAUGUUUUAUCAGUAUUAAUAAAGUUAUGAAUAUACACUGGAACCAGGGAGCAAUAACUGAGCUGUGAAACGUCUUAUAGGAGUAUAUAUAUAGACGCGUUA